AAAUUUUGAAGAUGAAAAUAUUAAUGUUGAAAAGCGUUGUCCCAAUCAUGACGUACAGUGCCGACAAGUUUUAUAUGAGGGCUGCGAUUUAA